GAGUUUGAUCCUGGCUCAGAACGAACGCUGGCGGCGUGCUUAACACAUGCAAGUCGAACGUGAUCCAGAGCUUGCUCUGGUGAAAGUGGCGCACGGGUGAGUAACGCGUGGAUAACCUGCCCUGGUAUCUGGGAUAACAUCUCGAAAGGGGUGCUAAUACCGGAUAAGCCUACGGGAUCUUCGGAUUCUGCAGGAAAAGGAGGCCUCUAUUUAUAAGCUUCCGUAUCAUGAUGGGUCCGCGUACCAUUAGCUAGUUGGUGGGGUAAUGGCCUACCAAGGCGACGAUGGUUAGCUGGUCUGAGAGGAUGUCCAGCCACACUGGAACUGAGACACGGUCCAGACUCCUACGGGAGGCAGCAGUGGGGAAUUUUGCGCAAUGGGGGAAACCCUGACGCAGCAACGCCGCGUGAGUGAUGAAGGCUUUCGGGUCGUAAAGCUCUGUCAGUGGGGAAGAAAUGGAACGCGCUAAUAUCGCGUUUCCUUGACGGUACCCACAAAGGAAGCACCGGCUAACUCCGUGCCAGCAGCCGCGGUAAUAC
rnacentral:rRNA from 1 species